rnacentral:piRNA from 1 species
UGACCGAUGGUCCCUGGUCUGUGCAGGACUC